AAUCAACGCUGGCGGCGUGCCUCAGACAUGCAAGUCGAACGCGAAAAUCCCCUUCGGGGGAUGAGUAGAGUGGCGCACGGGUGAGUAACACGUAGGUAAUCUACCUUUGGAUGGGGAAUAACCACCGGAAACGGUGGCUAAUACCGCAUAAUGCAGCGGCACCUAAUGGUGACAGUUGUUAAAGCGGGGGAUCGAAAGACCUCGCGUCUGAAGAGGAGCCUGCGGCGGAUUAGCUAGUUGGUAAGGUAAUGGCUUACCAAGGCGACGAUCCGUAACCGGCCUGAGAGGGCGGUCGGUCACACUGACACUGACAUACGGGUCAGACUCCUACGGGAGGCAGCAGUCGGGAAUUUUGGGCAAUGGGCGAAAGCCUGACCCAGCAACGCCGCGUGAAGGGAUGAAAUCCCUCGGGAUGUAAACUUCGCAAGAACGGGAAGAAUAAGUAGGGACAAUACCCCCUAUGAUGACGGUACCGUUUGUAAGCUCCGGCUAACUCCGUGCCA
rnacentral:rRNA from 1 species